GGAAUAUUGGACAAUGGGGGGAACCCUGAUCCAGCCAUGCCGCGUGUGUGAAGAAGGCCUUUUGGUUGUAAAGCACUUUAAGCGAGGAGGAGGCUACUUAGAUUAAUACUCUAAGAUAGUGGACGUUACUCGCAGAAUAAGCACCGGCUAACUCUGUGCCAGCAGCCGCGGUAAUACAGAGGGUGCAAGCGUUAAUCGGAUUUACUGGGCGUAAAGGGUACGUAGGUGGUCUUUUAAGUCGGAUGUGAAAUCCCUGAGCUUAACUUAGGAAUUGCAUUCGAUACUGGGAGACUAGAGUAUGGGAGAGGAUGGUAGAAUUCCAGGUGUAGCGGUGAAAUGCGUAGAGAUCUGGAGGAAUACCGAUGGCGAAGGCAGCCAUCUGGCCUAAUACUGACACUGAGGUACGAAAGCAUGGGGAGCAAACAGGAUUAGAUACCCGGG
rnacentral:rRNA from 1 species